CAGCUGCUAAAUACUCAACCCUCGAAUGACUCUGACUUUAUUGAGCUUCUGUACUUUUACUGCAGCCACGCUACAUUUUUCUCUUUUAGCCAAAGUGACUGAGUAAAUCUGUCUUUCAGUGAUGAGCUACAGAUGGACACACCGAAGUUUCCCACAGCCAAGUUUCUGCUGAUGAAACACAACUGCAACCAGGAGCUGAUCGGAUCUAAAAUGGAGAAUGAAAUUGUGAAACCUCCGUGUGUGAGGACAAACAGUAGAAGGUUUCCCCCCGAUUUAUAGAUUCCACCCUGAACCUUUGAAAAGACACGUUAUGCCUAAGAUGAGGAAUGAAAUCCUUGAGAAGCUCGAUUGAUUCUUGUAAAUCUCCUGCCAAACUCAGCGGGGCAUGAAAAGCGAGACUGCCGUUACAGUUGCUGUAAAAAGUUGCUAGAAAAAGACGUAAAUGCCAACAAAAAAAAGAGGUGAUCCUGUUCAGUUUUGAUUGUGUAGAUUAUAUUUUUCUACAUCUGUAUUCUCAAGUGUCAAACGUGGAUUUGAAACACAUCCAAGAAUUGGGCUUUAAAGGUUUAUUUAACACUGUGAAUGCAAAGAUAGAACUGGACCAACAUGCAGAUUACCUGUAGUUAUUUAAAGCCUCUGUGUGGUUUAUUUCCAUAAAAUAUGUAAAAACCUGUGAAGUACUGCAGGUGUCUGUUUAUGGUGGAUAGUCUUUGAUACCAGGGUCACUGUUUCCUACCAACAGAUUGAUUCCCAUCAUCUUUCCUUAUAAGGCUGGCAGUGUUGGAUGUUUGUUUGUUAUGCGUUUUUCAUUUCAUGUCAACAAAUUCCAGAAGAUAAGAUUUCUUUAAUACAUCAGGUGAUUGCUGUGAGUUUUAUCAAACAGGGAGAAUUUGUCAGUGCUCACUUUCACAUCCACAUCUGAGCUUUUUGACAAUGAUCAGCCCAGCGUCACAGAGGAGUGACAGUGUUCAUGGUCUUCUUGUGGAAUUUAAAUUGUAGCCAUCUGAACGUUUCCACUCUAUUUCACUGAUAUGCUGUUUUUCUUUCAUAGAGUUUGUUUGUUCUUGUUGUGGAUCCAGUUCAACUGAUGUAUGUAUUGUGCAUCACAGUUUUGUUCCAUUUGA